GAUGAACGCUGGCGGCGUGCCUAAUACAUGCAAGUCGAGCGGAGCGGGGACGGGUGAGUAACACGUGGAUAACCUCCUCUAAGCCUGGGAUAACUUCGGGAAAACGGAGCUAAACCGGAAACUUAUAGAUGGUUCCUCGCUGCAUGAGCUAGUUGGUAAGGUAACGGCUUACCAAGGCAACGAUGCAUAGCCGACCUGAGAGGGUGCUCGGCCACACUGGAACUGAUACACGGUCCAGCCUCAUACGGGAGGAAGCAGUAGGGAAUCUUCAGCAAUGGGCGAAAGCCUGACGGAGCAACGCCGCGUGAGUGUUGAAGGUCUUCGGAUCGUAAAACUCUGUUAUUAGGGAAGCGGUACCUAAUCAGAAAGCCACGGCUAACUACGUGCCAGCAGCCGCGGUAAUAC
rnacentral:rRNA from 1 species